AUUGAACGCUGGCGGCAUGCCUUACACAUGCAAGUCGAACGGUAACAGGUCUUCGGAUGCUGACGAGUGGCGAACGGGUGAGUAAUACAUCGGAACGUGCCUAGUAGUGGAGGAUAACUACUCGAAAGAGUGGCUAAUACCGCAUGAGAUCUACGGAUGAAAGCAGGGGAUCGCAAGACCUUGUGCUACUAGAGCGGCCGAUGGCAGAUUAGGUAGUUGGUGGGAUAAAAGCUUACCAAGCCGGCGAUCUGUAGCUGGUCUGAGAGGACGAUCAGCCACACUGGGACUGAGACACGGCCCAGACUCCUACGGGAGGCAGCAGUGGGGAAUUUUGGACAAUGGGCGAAAGCCUGAUCCAGCAAUGCCGAGUGCAGGAUGAAGGCCUUCGGGUUGUAAACUGCUUUUGUACGGAACGAAAAGCCCCGGGUUAAUACCCUGGGGUCAUGACGGUACCGUAAGAAUAAGCACCGGCUAACUACGUGCCAGCCGCCGCCGUAA
rnacentral:rRNA from 1 species